rnacentral:lncRNA from 1 species
ACGCCAACUCAAUGCUUCCCAGUUCCCAAUGGCUGCCAUCGACCGCUGCCCAACACUAACGUCGUCUGCCCGCGACACAGCCACCGCCAACUGCCUCCCUGGAAUAGCAGACCAACCCAGAAACUGACCAGCCAAACCAGCGACGUCGGCGCCGUCUGCAUCAAGGUCGUCUCGAUCCACGCAGCCACCGGAGUUCUCCAACCCAGAAGCCAACUAGAAUCCACGCCACCACCCCUGGAUCCCACAAAAUUCUUGGAGCAAUUACACCGAACAAGACCGGCAUCCACAUCUCGGCAAGAAUAGCCAACACCGAAAUCAGAUGGAAGGAGAGAAAGGAAGGGGUUGCUUUUGCCUGAAAAAGUCGAACAUCUCGAAGGACAAGGAAGCCGCGAGGCCUCCUCGAACGAAGGCAAGCAAAAUUGCCAGCGAUGAUGGAGAGUAGGGAAGCGGCG